CCUACGGGGGGCAGCAGUGGGGAAUAUUGGACAAUGGGGGAAACCCUGAUCCAGCGACGCCGCGUGUGUGAAGAAGGCCUGCGGGUUGUAAAGCACUUUCGGUGGGAACGAAAUAUGCCGGGCCAAUACCCCGGCAGGCUGACGUUACCCAAUGAAGAAGCACCGGCUAACUCUGUGCCAGCAGCCGCGGUAAUACCGAGGGUGCGAGCGUGAAUCGGAAUUACCGGAGGUAAAGUCGACGUAGGCAGCUGAAAUCCCCGGGCUCAACCUGGGAACUGCAUUCGAGACUGCGAUGCUUGAGUAUGGGAGAGGACAGCGGAAUUCCGGGUGUAGCGGUGAAAUGCGUAGAUAUCCGGAGGAACAUCAGUGGCGAAGGCGGCUGUCUGGCCCAAUACUGACGCUCAGGUGCGAAAGCGUGGGGAGCAAACAGGAUUAGAUACCCCUGUAGUC
rnacentral:rRNA from 1 species